UACGUAGGCAGCAAGCGUUGUCCGGAUUUAUUGGGCGUAAAGAGCGUGUAGGCGGCCAUGUAGGUCCGUUGUGAAAACUCGAGGCUCAACCUCGAGACGCCGAUGGAAACCAUGUGGCUAGAGUCCGGAAGAGGAGAGUGGAAUUCCUGGUGUAGCGGUGAAAUGCGCAGAUAUCGGGAGGAACACCAGUGGCGAAGGCGACUUCCUGGCCUGUUCUUGACGCUGAGGCGCGAAAGCUAGGGGAGCAAACGGG
rnacentral:rRNA from 1 species